rnacentral:rRNA from 1 species
AACGAACGCUGGCGGCAGGCUUAACACAUGCAAGUCGAGCGAGACCUUCGGGUCUAGCGGCGGACGGGUGCGUAACGCGUGGGAACGUGCCCUUCUCUACGGAAUAGCCCCGGGAAACUGGGAGUAAUACCGUAUACGCCCUUUGGGGGAAAGAUUUAUCGGAGAAGGAUCGGCCCGCGUUGGAUUAGGUAGUUGGUGGGGUAAUGGCCCACCAAGCCGACGAUCCAUAGCUGGUUUGAGAGGAUGAUCAGCCACACUGGGACUGAGACACGGCCCAGACUCCUACGGGAGGCAGCAGUGGGGAAUCUUAGACAAUGGGGGCAACCCUGAUCUAGCCAUGCCGCGUGAGUGAUGAAGGCCUUAGGGUUGUAAAGCUCUUUCAGCUGGGAAGAUAAUGACGGUACCAGCAGAAGAAGCCCCGGCUAACUCCGUG